UACGUAGGGUGCAAGCGUUGUCCGGAAUUAUUGGGCGUAAAGAGCUCGUAGGCGGUUUGUCGCGUCUGCUGUGAAAUCCCGAGGCUCAACCCCGGGCCUGCAGCCGAUACGGGCAGACUAGAGUUCGGCAGGGGAGACUGGAAUUCCUGGUGUAGCGGUGAAAUGCGCAGAUAUCAGGAGGAACACCGGUGGCGAAGGCGGGUCUCUGGGCCGAUACUGACGCUGAGGAGCGAAAGCGUGGGGAGCGAACAGG
rnacentral:rRNA from 1 species